rnacentral:rRNA from 1 species
AUUGAACGCUGGCGGCGUGCUUUACACAUGCAAGUCGAGCGGCAGCGCGACCUUCGGGUUGGCGGCGAGCGGCGAACGGGUGAGUAAUACAUCGGAACGUACCUUUUAGUGGUGGAUAACGCAGCGAAAGCUGUGCUAAUACCGCAUACGCCCUGAGGGGGAAAGCGGGGGAUCGAAAGACCUCGCGCGAUUAGAGCGGCCGAUGCCUGAUUAGCUUGUUGGUAGGGGUAAAGCCCACCAAGGCGACGAUCAGUAGCUGGUCUGAGAGGACGAUCAGCCACACUGGGACUGAGACACGGCCCAGACUCCUACGGGAGGC